GCACAUCUGCUACUAUCCCAACACUACAAUGGACUUCAUUCUUCUCUCCUAUGAGACAUGCUUGAGAUGCAACAACUUGUUAUCCUGCAAGAACAUUACACCGCACAUGAAUCAAUCGAAAAGAAAUAAAUAUAAAAAAUAUUAGAAAUAAAAAGAUUUGUGUUCAUCUUGAAGAUGAUGUUAAAAAUAUCCUUCGUAUCACAAAUGAUUUAUCCGUUCUACUGCAACAAAAUAUAACCACAAGUCAAUUGUAUCUACACAUAUUUUGUGUUGAGAAGAAAGAAUGCGUGUGUGUGUGCGUAUUGUACAACAAUAGCAUAACAGAUAAUGAUCUCUCAGUUGCAGGCUUGCAGCUGAAUUAGUGGUGCGAAGAUUUGAUUAUGAACAUAGCUGUGGCAUAUUUGAAAAGUACAUUAAUUAAACAGAUCUCAAAAGUUAAAGCACGUGCAUUACUACCAACUUGACAACAGGUACCAAAAAUCCAACAACAUAACUAUGUGAGAUGCAAAAAUAGGAUAUGUUUAUGACGUACUACACAUGUGCACACAUCCCAAAGCAAGUCCUGAAAUAAAGAGCAUGCCACUGAACUGAACUAGUGCAUACUGCACACAUGCACCUAUGGUCCAACCAUUUCACCCGAAUUCUAAAUUGGCAACUAGUUAACAUAUUAAUCAUGUAAGUCAAUCAUAACAAGCAAGUAGGCGAGAGGGAACGCGACGACGGUGUAGAGGAUACAGAAGGUACAUUUCAGCAUUACAUCACCAAACUAAACAAAGAACAAUUCAAGAAUAUAAGGGGACUCAUAAGUCAUAACACCAUAUAAAAUAAGCUUCUAAUAGAAAUGGCUAAUAGAUCAAGAGACUAACGCCUUAGUUUUCCUAUUCUCUGGGUGGUUCCAGUGUUACUGGACAGUUUUAUAAUAAUUUAUUCAACUACGUCCUCGCAACAUAGGUUCCAGUAUUCAAGCCGAGGAAGACAUCAACAGAGGUAGGAUCAGAUGAUCAGUCCCUAAUAAUAGAGACUAAGAUUCCAAACAGCACAAAUUCAUACUUUGCCGGUCUUCUUUAAGCUGAACAGGGACUUAUGAGGAAAAGAGACAAAGUUUCCUAUAGAGGGCACCUGAGCUCCCCACAUAUAUGGAUGAGCUUGGCCUGCAGCAACAGCAGGGGGAAAAAACCCAUGCAGUUAUAGAUUUUCAGGAUUGAGAGCCAAUUACAUGGAUGUGAGUGACUCUUAUCCACUUCACUUAGGGUUAUAUUUCCCACUGCCUUGGAUUGGAAAGGAGCUCACCUGCGGCUGCAGCUUAGCUAAUGGUAGCUCCCCGAGGGGUGAGUCAUCAACAUCUUAUGUUGGUAUUGGUGGUUGAUCUUGCUGCCCAGUGGCACCUGCCUCAUAUGCUGAUCACUGCAUAAUAACAGUGAAUAUCUUCAUCCCAUUACAUGCACAUAAAAAUCUACUAUUAUGUCCACUAUAGGCCAAAAGUAUGCAGCAAGUACCUGAGAGUUGUGUGGACCUGUUGAAGCAAUAAAACCUGUAACAGAUCUUGAAGCAACCAUGCAGCCCCAUAUCCUGUACAGUUUGCAUGAUAUGCUAAAAAAACUGCAGUAACAUCAGCACUAACCUUUUUUGGGGUGACAGGUAGCACUAAUUAAAUCCACAAGAUUAAUUAGGACACAUUAGCAGGCCAGCAUGCAGAAACCAUCGUUGUAUCAAUUCUUGGACGACAGAACCACUAAUUCUAGACAUACUUUCAUUGUCUGCUUAGCAAUCGUACAUCCUUUGUGAUGAAUUUCAAGAAUGGAUCAUAGCUGGGAGAGCAAACUGCAGGGUUUUUAAAAUGGGAAAACACAGCUACUGUCCAUAAAAACAACAGAGCACAGCUAGCAUAUCAACACCGGCCUCGCAUCUUGCUCCCUUUUCUACUAGUAAACAAGCAAGCAAGCAGCCUGCUGGAUGGAUUAUUGUGGAGGCUAGCUUACAUAUGGAUCGAUUCCUCGUGGAUUCUAGUUGAUGACGAGGACUGGUGGCUCCAACCGCGGGACUGGUGGCGUUAGCGGUCAUGCCUCUUCGGUUCUUCAUGGUCGCCGGAGCGAGGGAUGGGUGCCGACUGCCUAGCUGGAUCUGCCCAUGGCAUCGGCGGCUGC
rnacentral:lncRNA from 1 species